UUUAUUAUUGUUAUUAUUUUAAUUUGACUUUUUCAGGAGUAAAUUUAAACGUCACAUCAUCAGCCUGCGGUCCAUCAGCUCCACCUCAGCCACUCCAACAAAUCCUAAUUCAUGUUUUUUCAGUAAAAACUCGGGACUGAACGUGACUCUGAAUAACAGACUUUGUGUGGUGGCAAUAAAUACUAUAAAAUACCUGAUAUUUCAUGUUUGAUCAGGCUGGGAAGAUUCUAAGAACAUUUUUUCUCGUGCAUAAAAAAAUUAUUUGUGUGUGUAAAUUACAGCUUAUUUCAUAUAUUUAAAAAUUUCUUUAAAAAUUUCUUUCUCUUUCUCUCUUUAUGUUACAAUAAUUAUUUUUUUGUUAUUUUGUGACUUUUUUCAUAAGCCCACAACUUUUUCUUAUGAAUUUUUGACUUUGAGUUUUUUUUUAAAUUAAUACACGUUAUUGUUAUUUUUCCUGGAUUUCUUCUUCUUUGUACUUUUUGAAGUUGCCACAUCCUCUUCCCAGAUUUUUUUUUUUACCACAAUUUUAGCCUUUCUCAUGUUGUUUUUCCCUCAUGAGUUUGUGUUGACAAAAUUUAAGCAUUUUGUAAAUAGUUUUUCCAUAACUCAUUUGCAUGUCACCACAGAUUGGAGCGGUGUUAGGUUCCUUCUACACUGACUGAAACACAGUUAUGUUCCCUUUGUACAAAUAUAUUUGAAGAAUUAAAUGUUUUACAGAAUUCAAGCUGUGUGCAAAACAGUAAAGUUUUCAUGUCUGUGGUAUGUUAGCUGAAGGUAGCGUGGGUUGUCACCUGACCAAUACUGAGCAAAGUGAGGUGAAAAUCAAACGCCCCUCCGUUAAUCAGACGUACAGGUGGGGUAACUGUUUCCUGCUGCUUCUGUUUGGUUUGACUGCAGCGAGGUAUCCGGUGUUUUCUGUCCUCGGCGUCUUUAUGUGAGUAUUUAAAUGUCUUUUUCUGCUUUUCCUUUUACUCACACUGUGCGGCAUAACUGCGCUCUUUUUCUGGAUUUUCCGAUUUUUUUUCCCCACAUUUUUCUAAAGUCGAAAAUGUUGGGUUUAGAUUUUCAGGUGGCUGUUUUUUUGUCACUCUUCAGCAAAAUUGCGUGAUUUCUUAACUUUAAAAUGGUUCAUUUUUACCUUCAUCUCCACUGGUUUCUGUGCUUUCCCCCCCUGGACUUUGUGCACACUGCACAGCAUUGUAGUGCAUAGAGUGCAUAGCUAUUAGAAUAAUUUCCACUUGAUUGAUUUCUUUUUUGAAUGGAAAAGUUCUGCAAUGGCAAACACCAAGAAAAAGAGCAAGUCAUGAGUGGAUCCUGCUUUUGAACUUUGGG
ensembl:lncRNA